GGACGAACGCUGGCGGCGUGCCUAAUACAUGCAAGUAGAACGCACAGUUUAUACCGUAGCUUGCUACACCAUAGACUGUGAGUUGCGAACGGGUGAGUAACGCGUAGGUAACCUGCCUGGUAGCGGGGGAUAACUAUUGGAAACGAUAGCUAAUACCGCAUAAUAUUAAUUAUUGCAUGAUAAUUAAUUGAAAGGUGCAAUUGCACCACUACCAGAUGGACCUGCGUUGUAUUAGCUAGUAGGUGAGGUAACGGCUCACCUAGGCGACGAUACAUAGCCGACCUGAGAGGGUGAUCGGCCACACUGGGACUGAGACACGGCCCAGACUCCUACGGGAGGCAGCAGUAGGGAAUCUUCGGCAAUGGACGAAAGUCUGACCGAGCAACGCCGCGUGAGUGAAGAAGGUUGUCGGAUCGUAAAGCUCUGUUGUAAGAGAAGAACGGGUGUGAGAGUGGAAAGUUCACACUGUGACGGUAGCUGACCAGAAAGGGACGGCUAACUACGUG
rnacentral:rRNA from 1 species